UACGUAGGGGGCGAGCGUUGUCCGGAAUCAUUGGGCGUAAAGCGCGUGUAGGCGGCCCGGUAAGUCCGCUGUGAAAGUCCAGGGCUCAACCCUGGGAUGCCGGUGGAUACUGUCGGGCUCGAGUCCGGAAGAGGCGAGUGGAAUUCCUGGUGUAGCGGUGAAAUGCGCAGAUAUCAGGAGGAACACCAAUGGCGAAGGCAGCUCGCUGGGACGUGACUGACGCUGAGACACGAAAGCCAGGGGAGCGAACGGG
rnacentral:rRNA from 1 species